rnacentral:lncRNA from 1 species
UAAUUUCUCAGACCAAAACAGGCACUCCUUCAAUCACUCGCCCCACUCUAGGAGGAGUUAGAAUAAUUAAUCAUUGACUUUCGCAAUAAAUUACGCCUCUCGCGUCUUGCCUUCCUAAGGUUUGCAAAACUUAGGUUUUCUAGGUCCCAACGACCUAAUGCUAAGCUCUGAUACCAACUUAAUCUGUCACGUCCCGGAUUACACGUUUCCCGGGCACGUCGACAGCCGUAUACAAAGGAACUUCCCUGUAUACGAAGCGAUAGCUGUACCUGUAAAUCAUUCAAUACUACAAACAGUAGUAUAGAGCUGCUAGAAGAACCAGAAAUAAAACAAACCGAGUUCCAUAUACAUACGUCAAAAUCCAAGAUACAAAAAUUACUCACACUGGCGAGUUAAACAGCAGUAUGUACAUGAACUCCAGCAAAAAAAUCACUACCUGCUGUAGGGACACCUCUAGCUCGGCUCGUCGGGUAGGGCUCUAACUCGCGACGCCCUUACCUCGAUCCUGGUCG